GUGCUCGCUUCAGCAGCACGUAUGCUAAAAUUGGAACGAUACAGAGAAGAUUAGCAUGGCCCCUGCGCAAGGAUGGGCACACAAAUUCGUGAAGUGUUCCAUAUUUAA
rnacentral:snRNA from 1 species